GAUAAUUAAUUCUUUCCUCUUUGUUUUGCAAUUAUUUUGUUGUUUAUAUUUUUUAUUUCUGUUGAUGUCAUUGUUCUUUCUCUCUGGAUGUUUUAAUGUAUUGCUGUACCAAUAUAAUGUAUGAUGUUCUUUGUGUUGCUGUAUUGUCAUUAUAGAUAAAAAAAAACUCUACAGUCACUUUGGACCAAUCUGAACCCCUAACUGUCUACAGUCACUGUAGACUUUAGACCAAUCAGAACGCCUAACUGUCUACAGUCACUGUAGACUUUAGACCAAUCAGAACGCCUAACUGUCUAAAGUCACUGUAGACUUUAGACCAAUCUGAACGCCUAACUGUCUACAGUGACAAGUGUUGCAUACUACUGCAUAAUUCCUGGUAGUGGGGGGGAUUGUGUUCACGCUCUCCCCUGAGUUGAUGUAUAAGAGAAGUCUGAUCCGUCUCAUAAAUUACUGGAUAUCAGGGCAGAAUGCAUUGUUUGAGUGACGAGUACUGGGGAAGCUCAUAACCUUGUUGGACAACCACUUAAUGUACAGCUGUUGAAUGAGAUUAUCUGUAGUGCGGUGUGUGUGUAUAUUGGGGACAUGGCCCCAUCUAUGCCAUGUACAUAACCACUGUACUGUGUGUGUGUGUGUGUGUGUGUGUGUCAGUCAGUAGGCAGGACGUAUUACACCCACUCUGUUCCAAGGCUACUUCUGGUGCUGCUGUUAUGGGAACAUGUAGGGCUUUGGGGGAACAUUGCUUAAUAUGUUCCUUUGGACAGCGUGGUGUAUAGUCUGCCAGGCUAUUUGCAGACCAGUGACUGAAGCUCAGGCCUUGUACUGGAUGAUGCUAUAAUGGGGAACACCAAAGCAUACUAGACAAGCACAGAUCAGAGGUGACAAACCCAUAUAAGAAGGGAGAGAUGGGGAACCAGUGGGUGAAGGAAUACAUCGCAGACUACACAGAGAGCUUCCCACAAGUCUCCAUUCUCCUCGAGGCCAACAUCAACAGGUGUAUCUGCGGUCAGAGAGGGUUUGAGAAUCACACCUUUGAGGAAAUGUAGGAGCUGUACAGUCAGUACCCCACCCAAAAGGACAGGCAAGAGCAAUUCAGUGAUGAACGGGGAGAUAAUACAGAAGGCACACAGUUCUGUGAGGAGGUGGUUGCACACGCCAGUGACCCACAUCACAAGUGUGCAGAUGAAGAGGUUCAGG
ensembl:lncRNA